rnacentral:rRNA from 1 species
AUGAACGCUAGCGGCAGGCUUAACACAUGCAAGCCGAGGGGCAGCACGGUAGCAAUACUGGUGGCGACCGGCGCACGGGUGAGUAACGCGUAUGCAAUCUACCUUUAACUGGGGAAUAGCUCAGAGAAAUCUGAAUUAAUACCCCAUAAAAUUUCGGAGAGGCAUCUCUCUGUUCUUAAAGCUACGGCGGUUAAAGAUGAGCAUGCGUACCAUUAGCUAGUUGGUAAGGUAACGGCUUACCAAGGCUACGAUGGUUAGGGGGUCUGAGAGGAUGAUCCCCCACACUGGUACUGAGACACGGACCAGACUCCUACGGGAGGCAGCAGUGAGGAAUAUUGGUCAAUGGGUGCAAGCCUGAACCAGCCAUGCCGCGUGAAGGAUUAAGGUUCUAUGAAUUGUAAACUUCUUUUGUCAGGGAAAAAACCCCCGCUCGUGAGCGGGGUUGAUGGUACCUGAAGAAUAAGGAUCGGCUAACUCCGU